rnacentral:snoRNA from 1 species
AUCCUUUUGUGGUCCAUAAGCAUGAUGAAUGGGUAUUCACGUGUUUGUGUGAGAUGUGCUUCUGUCAAACCUUGUUACAACGUCGGCACAUGACCCGUCUGAUG